rnacentral:rRNA from 1 species
GGCGGCNNGCCUAACNCAUGCAAGUCGAACGGCAGCACAGUAUGUANCAAUACAUAUGGGUGGCGAGUGGCGGACGGGUGCGCAAUGUGUAGGGAUCUGCCCUGAAGUGGGGGACAACCCGGGGAAACUCGGGCUAAUACCGCAUAAUACUCUACGGAGGAAAUCUGGCUAGCAAUAGCUGGGGCUUUAGGAGGAACCUACAUCCGAUUAGCUAGUUGGUGAGGUAAUGGCUCACCAAGGCGAUGAUCGGUAGCUGGUCUGAGAGGAUGACCANCCACACUGGGACUGAGACACGGCCCAGACUCCUACGGGAGGCAGCAGUGGGGAAUAUUGGACAAUGGGGGAAACCCUGAUCCAGCAAUGCCGCGUGGGUGAAGAANGCCUUCGGGUUGUNNAGCCCUUUANGCGGGGAAGAA